UACGAAGGGGGCUAGCGUUGCUCGGAAUUACUGGGCGUAAAGCGUGCGUAGACGGCUAUCUAAGUCGGGUGUGAAAGCCCCGGGCUCAACCUGGGAAUUGCAUUCGAGACUGAAUAGCUAGGGUACGGUAGAGGGAAGCGGAAUUUCCGGUGUAGCGGUGAAAUGCGUAGACAUCGGAAGGAACAUCAGUGGCGAAAGCGGCUUCCUGGACCAGUACCGACGUUCAGGCACGAAAGCGUGGGGAGCAAACAGG
rnacentral:rRNA from 1 species